UUUUUAUUACUCUUGCUAUAUAUAUCCUCACCUCACACCAAAAUGAUCUUAUCAUCGGGCAGUUAAUCAUCAUAUGUACUAAGUUCGCAUUUUUACUUCCACAUCUCCAGCAGUUGUCUGCAUUUGUUAUUUUCUUCUGGUAAAGUUUUGCUGGAGUCCAGGGGACUCUGAAUAUUAUUUUCUGCUGAAUAAGUCUUAAAUCCAUAGAAGCUAUUUCUGUUGAUUUUAUACUUGACUCCCAUUUAUCAUUUGUUAUCUGUACCCCUAACUCUUCACUCCAUUUUUGUCUGUCAUAUUCUAAAUCAUAUUUCUUUCUGUUGAGUAGGGUUUUAUAUAGUGCAAGUGUAGAGUUCUUUGCUUUUGUUGCAGAAAUUAAAUCUUGUAGGUGUUUCCAAUACUGCUAUAGCCUCAGGGCCAAACUGCCUUUCCAACAUAUGUUUCAAUUGGAUGUAUUGCCAUUGUGUUUCACUGGUUAAUCCAUACUUUACUUGCAAGGUCUUAUAUUCCACAAAUUUGUAAUUUU